rnacentral:rRNA from 1 species
UACGGAGGAUACAAGCGUUAUCCGGAUUUAUUGGGUUUAAAGGGUGCGCAGGUUGUUUGAUAAGUCAGUGGUGAAAGUCUGUCGCUUAACGGUAGGAUUGCCAUUGAUACUGUUGGACUUGAAUAUGGAUGAGGUAGGCGGAAUGUGUAGUGUAGCGGUGAAAUGCAUAGAUAUUACACAGAACACCGAUUGCGAAGGCAGCUUACUAAUCCAUCAUUGACGCUGAGGCACGAAAGCGUGGGGAUCAAACAGGA